UUAGCUAAAUAGGGUCAGAGGCGGUAAACGCGAUUACACUACUACUAUUAUUGUGAGUGUUCUUCUCUCUUGAAAAUGUGAUAUAACGCCCGACAGGCACUGCCCGUCUCCAGCUGAAAACGAUCGCGAGCCGCUGCUGCCACCGAGGGGAGCCGUGCCAGUGCCGCGUGAGUGCGCGAGGAGCGGAUCACCAUGACCCUUUAAUGAAAUAAAGAGAACCAAAAAUUGAAUGAAUGAAUAGGAAGGUAAAUUUGGUUCCACUGAUCUGCUGCCAAACUGCCCUCUUGCUUACAGAAAAGUCAUCACAGACAAAGGAGCAUUGGAAUCAUCAGAUGGAAAGUUUUUUCAGUCUCUGCUAUAGAAUGCCUAGGAGGGAAAGGGCUGGUAGCUAGCCAAGUUUUUCUCUGUGUCUGACUUUGACUUUCUCUCUUACAAUUGUCUCCAUCAUCAAUCUCCUCCAUUGUCAACUGGCCAAAUUUUAACAAUUAAUUAGAACUUCAGAUAUAAUAAAAACCUAGCACAACACUAAACACUUUUCUAUAUACAAGUUUAAAUUCAAAAUGAACCAAGCUGAAAAAACUUGCUGCUCUUGAAACAGAUGCCCCGAAGUCCAGAAUUUUUCUUACCUUUG